GAAGCUCUUGAUCGAAGCCCCGGUAAACGGCGGCCGUAACUAUAACGGUCCUAAGGUAGCGAAAUUCCUUGUCGGGUAAGUUCCGACCUGCACGAAUGGCGUAACGAUGGCGGCGCUGUCUCCACCCGAGACUCAGUGAAAUUGAAAUCGCUGUGAAGAUGCAGUGUAUCCGCGGCUAGACGGAAAGACCCCGUGAACCUUUACUAUAGCUUUGCACUGGACUUUGAGCUUGCUUGUGUAGGAUAGGUGGGAGGCUUUGAAGCGUGGACGCCAGUUCGCGUGGAGCCAUCCUUGAAAUACCACCCUGGCAACCUUGAGGUUCUAACUCUGGUCCGUUAUCCGGAUCGAGGACAGUGUAUGGUGGGUAGUUUGACUGGGGCGGUCUCCUCCUAAAGAGUAACGGAGGAGUACGAAGGUGCGCUCAGACCGGUCGGAAAUCGGUCGCAGAGUAUAAAGGCAAAAGCGCGCUUGACUGCGAGACAGACACGUCGAGCAGGUACGAAAGUAGGUCUUAGUGAUCCGGUGGUUCUGUAUGGAAGGGCCAUCGCUCAACGGAUAAAAGGUACUCCGGGGAUAACAGGCUGAUACCGCCCAAGAGUUCAUAUCGACGGCGGUGUUUGGCACCUCGAUGUCGGCUCAUCACAUCCUGGGGCUGAAGCCGGUCCCAAGGGUAUGGCUGUUCGCCAUUUAAAGUGGUACGCGAGCUGGGUUUAGAACGUCGUGAGACAGUUCGGUCCCUAUCUGCCGUGGACGUUUGAGAUUUGAGAGGGGCUGCUCCUAGUACGAGAGGACCGGAGUGGACGAACCUCUGGUGUUCCGGUUGUCACGCCAGUGGCAUUGCCGGGUAGCUACGUUCGGAAGAGAUAACCGCUGAAAGCAUCUAAGCGGGAAACUUGCCUCAAGAUGAGAUCUCACUGGAGCCUUGAGCUCCCUAAAGGGCCGUCGAAGACUACGACGUUGAUAGGUUGGGUGUGUAAGCGCUGUGAGGCGUUGAGCUAACCAAUACUAAUUGCCCGUGAGGCUUGACCAU
rnacentral:rRNA from 1 species